UACAGAGGUCUCGAGCGUUAGGCGGAAUCACUGGGCUUAAAGCGUGUGUAGGCGGAUCGGUAAGUACCUUGUGAAAUCCCACAGCUUAACUGUGGAACUGCUCGGUAUACUGCCAGUCUUGAGCCAGCUAGGGGCUACCGGAACAAAUGGUGGAGCGGUGAAAUGCGUAGAUAUCUGGAGGAACACCGGUGGCGAAGGCGGCAUCCUGGACCGGUAUUGACGCUGAGGCGCGAAAGCUAGGGGAGCAAACGGG
rnacentral:rRNA from 1 species